UGCUAUUUGGACUACGGUAGUUCCUAAAGAAACUUAUGUGAUUUCUGAAGAUGCCUUGGAGACAAGCACAAGAGAACUAGGAAGCAAAUGAGGAAAAGCAAUAU